rnacentral:rRNA from 1 species
UACGGAGGGGGUUAGCGUUGUUCGGAAUUACUGGGCGUAAAGCGCGCGUAGGCGGAUUGGAAAGUUGGGGGUGAAAUCCCGGGGCUCAACCCCGGAACGGCCUCCAAAACCCCCAGUCUUGAGUUCGAGAGAGGUGAGUGGAACUCCGAGUGUAGAGGUGAAAUUCGUAGAUAUUCGGAGGAACACCAGUGGCGAAGGCGGCUCACUGGCUCGAUACUGACGCUGAGGUGCGAAAGCGUGGGGAGCAAACAGG